GCCGGAGUGGCGGAACUGGUAGACGCGCCGGAUUCAAAAUCCGGUUCUGGAAACAGAGUGAGAGUUCGAGUCUCUCCUCCGGCACCA
rnacentral:tRNA from 2 species